UGGGAUGGGCAUUCUAUUCCGGGGGUAGC
rnacentral:piRNA from 1 species